rnacentral:lncRNA from 1 species
ACAAGAUAAGAGUGCAAUUGAUCUUUUUAUUAACCCGUUUCCCCAGGUGGGUGGCAGCCUGCUCCUCCCUCCUGGGUUCAGUUACAUUGUUCAGUUCCAGGAAUCAUUUUAGACUCUUUUGGUUUUUUGUCUGAGCUGAUACUUAAAACAUAGGAGCACAAACGCUGAUAUUCCGUGUCCUCUAAAUCCUAUCCUCUCUGGACCUCCAAACUGGUCGCAGACCACUUACUCUAGACCUCACGACUAGUUCUGAAGAGUAUGGAGCCUACAUAGAUUCAUAAGGGAAGAAGGAGGAGGAAGCGACAAGGAAGGAGAGGAAGCACCCACACGAGAAAGCCAGAGCAGACUGUGACCAUCAACUUGGUCGCUGCUGCCCCUCACUGCAAGGGAUGUUUGGAGAGCUGGCACUUGCUUUCUACAGAAAACCAGCGUACUCGUCUGCCUGUCAAAGAUGGUGACUGGAAUCAGAGAGAUUAUGCACAUGCCCAAGGUCACACAGGUAGUGACAAGGCAGAGACUUAAACUCAGAAAUUUGAAGACAAGUUGAAUGAACUGUCUGUUAUGCCACACUGAUUUCUAUUUGGGAGGAAAAAGUUUGGAAUCAUGGCAAGAUGAACAUGUCUCAGGACUGAUUCUGUUUGCGUGUAUUCUUCAUUCCCAAAAGCUGAGUCUGCUUUAUGGGGAGCCUGUGUACUUGCCCGGGAAGGUCUAAGGAGUGUUUGACUUCCUGAUUUCUGUGUAAUUUCUGUACUAUCCCAGAAGGAUCACAGUUUAUUCCACUAAUAUUAAAUGGCCUUGUAAUUAUACUUUUAGGAGCAUACUCAAGAAAUGAAUCCUAACCAGAGACAGAGAAAAAAAAAGUUGUAUACAGAAGGAUAUUGACUUUAGAGUUAUAAAUAAUAGCCAAAAAAGCAACAAAUAACCUAAAUAUCCUUGGCACAGGAUCAGUUAAGUAGACUAAGAUACAUCAACUCAAUGAAAUAAUGAUAGUCAUAAUAAUUACCAUCUGGUAAGCAUCCAGUAUGAGCAAUGCAUUUUACUAGCUCCUUUCAAA